rnacentral:piRNA from 1 species
GCGCCCUGGAGUGUUCAUGGCUGGAUGCCUU